GUGGCGUUACAUCUAUAAUGGCGGCUAUCGUGAGUCUUAAAAUUUUGAAAAACGACGAAGAAAAAAUAUGUAUCGAAGAACUGGCAUUUCAUUCUACUAGCAAUUUGAAAUGCUCAACAGAAAAAUUAAAAAACUUGAGCGGAUCAGUUACUGCUGUGCAGAGAAGAGCAAAUGAAGUCUUAACCAGCCUUAUAAAUCAGGAAAAAACUUCGAAUGAAGUCAGUGGUGGACAAUAUCAUUCAUUAAAAAGAGAAGACAAUGAACUUGAAGAGGAAGAUGAAGGUGAUGAUAAAGAUAGUCAUGAUUCCAAGAAGCUGAAAACAUCAUAGGAAAUGUUUUCAUAAAUGAAGAUUUGAAGACAUUCUGGGUAGCUUUUCAGAUUUCAAUGGCAGGUUAAGAAAAUGUAGCAGAGUGGGAGGGAACAUUGUACCAUAUGGUCUUUAUCAAGUGAUUCUCCAAGCGAAAUCAAAGGAGCCAUGCAUAUUGACAAAAUGUUCAUAUCAAAACUCGCAUUGAUGUACAGAGAAACCAGGAAAAGUUAAUACUUUUAUUAAUUCUGAUAGACAAAAAAAUCUAAAAACUGGAAUGUUUUAUAACCCUUUUUGACUAUAGUGUUACAAAUUAUUAUAAAGAUAGUACCUUAGUUUCCAGUUACAAAUUUUGACUUUUUAAGCAGUACAGGAUUGAGUAAUAUUGUAAAAUAUAUUUGGAACCAUAAAGGGAUUUUACUAAGGUGUAAA